AUGCAAGUCGAGCGGCAGCACAAGGGAGUUUACUCCUGAGGUGGCGAGCGGCGGACGGGUGAGUAAUGCCUAGGGAUCUGCCCAGUCGAGGGGGAUAACAGUUGGAAACGACUGCUAAUACCGCAUACGCCCUACGGGGGAAAGGAGGGGACCUUCGGGCCUUCCGCGAUUGGAUGAACCUAGGUGGGAUUAGCUAGUUGGUGAGGUAAUGGCUCACCAAGGCGACGAUCCCUAGCUGUUCUGAGAGGAUGAUCAGCCACACUGGGACUGAGACACGGCCCAGACUCCUACGGGAGGCAGCAGUGGGGAAUAUUGCACAAUGGGGGAAACCCUGAUGCAGCCAUGCCGCGUGUGUGAAGAAGGCCUUCGGGUUGUAAAGCACUUUCAGUAGGGAGGAAAGGUUGCAGUUUAAUAAACUGUAGCUGUGACGUUACCUACAGAAGAAGGACCGGCUAACUACGUGCCAGCAGCCGCGGUAACACGUAGGGGGCGAGCGUUGUUCGGAAUCAUUGGGCGUAAAGGGCGUGCAGGCGGCCCUGCAAGUCCGGCGUGAAAUGCCCCGGCUCAACCGGGGAGACGCGCUGGAAACUGCGGGGCUGGAGUACAGGAGGGGAUGCCGGAAUUCCAGGUGUAGGGGUGAAAUCUGUAGAUAUCUGGAGGAACACCAAUGGCGAAGGCAGGCAUCUGGCCAUGUACUGACGCUGAGACGCGAAGGUGCGG
rnacentral:rRNA from 1 species